GAAGGAUCAUUAAUGAAUACAGAUGCCUGUCGAGCUUGCUCACGGGCUUUCUAUCAUAUCCAUAACACCUGUGCACUUGUUGGAUGAUCUAAAGACAUAGGGUAAAACCUAAAGUCAAUAGUCAUCCACUUACACUAAACAAUAAUGUAACAAAUGUAGUCUUAUUAUAACAAAAUAAAACUUUCAACAACGGAUCUCUUGGCUCUCGCAUCGAUGAAGAACGCAGCGAAAUGCGAUAAGUAAUGUGAAUUGCAGAAUUCAGUGAAUCAUCGAAUCUUUGAACGCACCUUGCGCUCCUUGGUAUUCCGAGGAGCAUGCCUGUUUGAGUGUCAUGAAAACCCUCAACCUUAGAUUGGUUAUUUGACCUUUCUUUGGCUUGGAUUUGGACGUUUGCCGAUGUCAAGUCGGCUCGUCUUAAAAGUAAUAGCUGGAUCUGUCUCGCGACAUGGUUUGACUUGGCGUAAUAAGUAUUUCGCUAAGGACAUCUUCGGAUGGCCCUGUUGCAGGACUAAAGACCGCUUUCUAAUCCAUUGAUCUUCGGAUUAAUAUUCAUAACAUCUGGCCUCAAAUCAGGUAGGACUACCC
rnacentral:rRNA from 1 species